AGAAUCAACGCUGGCGGCGCGCUUAACACAUGCAAGUCGAACGAGAAAGCGGGGGCAACCUCGUGAGUAAAGUGGCGUACGGGUGAGUAACACGUGGAUCAUCUACCCUUGAGUUCGGGAUAACGCUGGGAAACCGGCGCUAAUACCGGAUGAGCCCGGGAGGGCAAAGCGGAAACGCGCUGGAGGAGGAGUCCGCGGCCGAUUAGCUAGUUGGCAGGAUAAAAGCCUACCAAGGCAAAGAUCGGUAGCCGGCCUGAGAGGGCACACGGCCACACUGGCACUGAAACACGGGCCAGACUCCUACGGGAGGCAGCAGUGGGGAAUCUUGCACAAUGGGGGCAACCCUGAUGCAGCGACGCCGCGUGAGCGAUGAAGCCCUUCGGGGUGUAAAGCUCUUUCGGCAGGGAAGAAACAUGACGGUACCUGCAGAAGCAGCUGCGGCUAACUACGUGCCAGCAGCCGCGGUAAUACGUAGGCAGCGAGCGUUGUUCGGAGUUACUGGGCGUAAAGGGUGUGUAGGCGGUUCCCUAAGUUUGGUGUGAAAUCUCCCGGCUUAACUGGGAGGGUGCGCCGAAGACUGGGGAGCUAGAGUGCGGGAUGGGAGAGUAGAAUUCCUGGUGUAGCGGUGAAAUGCGUAGAUAUCAGGAGGAAUACCGGUGGUGUAGACGGCUCUCUGGACCGCAACUGACGCUGAGACACGAAAGCGUGGGUAGCAAACAGGAUUAGAUACCCUGGUAGUCCACGCCCUAAACGAUGCAUAUUUGGUGUAGGUCAUUCAGUUGAUCUGUGCCGGAGC
rnacentral:rRNA from 1 species